rnacentral:rRNA from 1 species
GAUGAACGCUGGCGGCGUGCCUAAUACAUGCAAGUCGAGCGAACGGACGAGAAGCUUGCUUCUCUGAUGUUAGCGGCGGACGGGUGAGUAACACGUGGAUAACCUACCUAUAAGACUGGGAUAACUUCGGGAAACCGUAGCUAAUACCGGAUAAUAUUUUGAACCGCAUGGUUCAAUAGUGAAAGACGGUCUUGCUGUCACUUAUAGAUGGAUCCGCGCUGCAUUAGCUAGUUGGUAAGGUAACGGCUUACCAAGGCAACGAUGCAUAGCCGACCUGAGAGGGUGAUCGGCCACACUGGAACUGAGACACGGUCCAGACUCCUACGGGAGGCAGCAGUAGGGAAUCUUCCGCAAAGGGCGAAAGCCUGACGGAGCAACGCCGCGUGAGUGAUGAAGGUCUUCGGAUCGUAAAACUCUGUUAUUAGGGAAGAACAAAUGUGUAAGUAACUGUGCACAUCUUGACGGUACCUAAUCAGAAAGCCACGGCUAACUACGUG